rnacentral:lncRNA from 1 species
CCCGGCGCGAGCCUGCCCCCAGCUCUGCCGACACUUGACCCAGACCAGUCCCAACGCCCAGUGCGGCCGCCUGGGGAGCCGCGGGAGAGGCGGCGGCGGGGGGAGGAGGGAGAGGAGGGCCGAGCCGGCGGCCCGGGAGGCCCGGUUUUGAAGCCGCUUCUCUGGCCGAGUUAGGUUUCGCCCAGCGCAAUUUCUUUCUCUAUGUACUUUGCGAAUAAGUUUCGGAGCAUCGGUUAACAGCCUAUGGGUGAAAUUUGGCUUUCAUUCAUGAAUGAGCUUCAGUUGUGGAGGGCCAAAAGGGUAUCAUUCUUCGAGCUAUUCAAGAAAUAUUUCAAAGCAUCUCUGAACAUCCUAGCAUUGACUUUAAUGUGAAAGUAUCUUAUAUAGAAGUGUACAAGGAAGACCUAAGAGAUCUUCUAGAAUUGGAGACAUCCAUGAAAGAUCUUCACAUCCGAAAAGAUGAAAAAGGAAACACAGG